rnacentral:rRNA from 1 species
GCCCGCUCAGAAACUACAAAGGAAUUGACGGGGGCCCGCACAAGCGGUGGAGCAUGUGGUUUAAUUCGAUGAUACGCGAGGAACCUUACCUGGGCUCAAAUGUAUGUUGACGUAUUCUGAAAGGGAUACUUCUUCGGACAAUAUACAAGGUGCUGCAUGGUUGUCGUCAGCUCGUGCCGUGAGGUGUCGGGUUAAGUCCCAUAACGAGCGCAACCCUAUCAUUAGUUGCCAUCAGGUCAAGCUGGGGACUCUAAUGAAACUGCCUACGCAAGUAGUGAGGAAGGUGGGGAUGACGUCAAAUCAGCACGGCCCUUACGUCCAGGGCUACACACGUGCUACAAUGGCCGGUACAAAGGGCAGCUACCUGGUGACAGGAUGCUAAUCUCCAAAGUCGGUCUCAGUUCGGAUCGGAGUCUGCAACCCGACUCCGUGAAGUUGGAUUCGCUAGUAAUCGCGCAUCAGCCAUGGCGCGGUGAAUACGUUCCCGGGCCUU